rnacentral:ncRNA from 2 species
UUCUUAUCAAGAGAGGCGGAGGGACUGGCCCAGCGAAGCCCGGCAACCGGUAAAGUACACGGUGCUAAAUCCAGCAGAGCGGGAUGCUCUGGAAGAUAAGAA